rnacentral:siRNA from 1 species
UCAAUUAUUAUAAUCGCAAAAUUA